rnacentral:misc_RNA from 1 species
CCUCCUUAAAAAAUAAUCGUUUACGAUAGGCGUUCACACGAAUUAUUUGCUUUUACCCAAAUCAUUUCUAUAUAGAUCUGAAAUUACGGAGAGUUCUUUAACAUUUUUAUAAGUUCAACCAAGUCACAUCAUAGUGGAUUAAUUUUUAAAUUGAGACAUGAAUGGUGUGCAAUUUCACCCAACCCGUCAUGUUUUUAUAACAUAAGUUUGGUGGGAAAUACUGCAAAGUAAUUUUGGCGUUAUGUUAAUAAAACNUGA